rnacentral:tRNA from 1 species
GUGUGUGUAGCGCAGUGGUAGGGUGCAUGCUUAGCACGCAUGAGGUCCUGGGUUCAAUCCCCAGUGCCUCCA